rnacentral:rRNA from 1 species
UACUGAGUUUUGGGCGUCGGGGUUCUGCCCCGUCGUUCCUCUCUCUCAUGUCCAAUGUUUAUGGUACUCACAGUAUGCUUCGGUGUGACCAGACCCUGCGGGGUCGGCAGGACUGCACCGGUCUUGCUCGUGUCCGCCGACGGCCUAUUCAACCUCAAUCUUCUGGAUGAACGUCUGAAUUAUGAUUGUAUCAAUACAAAUUAAAAAAAAAGCAAAACUUUCAACAACGGAUCUCUUGGUUCUGGCAUCGAUGAAGAACGCAGCGAAAUGCGAUAAGUAAUGCGAAUUGCAGAAUUCCGUGAGUCAUCGAAUCUUUGAACGCACAUUGCGCCCUUUGGUAUUCCGAAGGGCAUGCCUAUUCGAGCGUCAUUAUCACCCCUCAAGUCUGACUUGGUGUUGGUGGAUUCUAGCAAUGCGAGACCGUGUUGCUCCACUGAAAGAUAAUGACCGGGUUGUGAUUCAACGCUAGGUACAGUGAGCUGAUUGAUUUUGGCACGUACUUGAGUGGUGGUCGCGCACCCGUCCGGCAGCGAGAGAGAGAGUUCUCUCUCCCCCUCUCGCUUCCACCCCCUCAACUCUGAAAGUUGACCUCGGAUUAGGUAGGGAUACCCGCUGAACUUAAGCAUAUCAAUAAGCGGAGGAAAAGAAACCAACAGGGAUUGCCUCAGUAACGGCGAGUGAAGCGGCAAAAGCUCAAAUUUGAAAUCUGGCUCUCGGGCCCGAGUUGUAAUUUGGAGAGGAUGUUUUGGGUACCGCUCCGGUGUAAAUUUCUUGGAACAGAAUGUCAUAGAGGGUGAGAAUCCCGUCUGGCAUCGGAGUAGGGCUCGUGUAAAACUCCUUCGACGAGUCGAGUUGUUUGGGAAUGCAGCUCUAAAUGGGUGGUAAAUUUCAUCUAAAGCUAAAUACCCGCCAGAGACCGAUAGCGCACAAGUAGAGUGAUCGAAAGAUGAAAAGCACUUUGAAAAGAGAGUUAAACAGUAUGUGAAAUUGUUGAAAGGGAAGCGUCUACAACCAGACGUGUCCGUGAAGUUCCCCCCGGCUUUUGCCUGGGUUAUUCUUCCCGUACAGGCCAACAUCAGUUCGGUGGGUGGGUCAAAGGCCGGUGGAACGUACCUUUCCUUCGGGCAAGACUUAUAGCCACCAUGUGUCAUGCCACCCUACGCCGGACUGAGGC